CAAUUAAGCAGGAGAUUGCAUGUGCCUGGAUUUUCACUAACCUAGAAAUUAUAAAUUGGUUUGUAUUUUGGAAUGCUUUUUAGAGUUUAUGAUUAUUGAGAUUGUUAUUGAAAUAUUUAUAAAUACUGCAUCAGAUGGCCUCCACGUCUUGAUGGCUCAUGUUAAGCUUUUACAGAAUUAACAUAAUAUGCUUCUUAUUGUGUGCCAUUCCUCAGGAUUAUGCCUCUUCUACACAUCUGAUGUUGUAAAACAUACUGUGUAAAUAAUUGAUAAUAAACAAACAAAUUCUACUUUUGCCCUGGUGUACUUUACCAGUUUCAAGACUUUGAAGUCCUGUAAAUAAUUUAUGGCCCUUAUUAGUGCAGGCAAAUCAAACGGUACCCUUGAUCCGAGCUGCUUUUUGUCCUCGUCGUUUCUGAACAGAAUUGUUAAGUGAUGCUUCUGAUUGGUAACUAAACGGAACACCACUGAAAAUCACUGUGGCAUGCCUGCUGAUAUAUACUGAUGCAAGCAGCGUUGCCAAGCCAUUGGUAUUUACACUAAUGGAAUUUGUAGACUUACUGGUAUAUAUUCUGAAACCAGGACUUGCUAUAUCUUUUCAGCGUGCUUUUCGUUUACCUAUGACUUCUUCCCUGGUGCAUGUUAAGAAGUGGAUUUUCACUCAAUAUGCAUUUCUUGGCAAAGAUACAAGCAUGCUGAAAAACAUGAACCGAAAUAUCAAAAGACAGAUUAUAUAAUCUUUUUUCAACUCCUAAAAGCUUAGGCAGUAUGCCAACUAGCCAGACUAAAUAAUCCACAAUGGUACAAUAGUCUUUCUUGGGUGUGGAAAAUGCAAGCCUGUGAGAGUGAAAAGUGAAGUUUCAGAAGUUAUGAAAGAUUUAUGACUUAAACAUUUUGUUCUCCUCGUGGUCUGUGUUAUUUAUAAUUACAUGAAUCUUAACCAAGGGUUCCAUUGAUUUCAUAAUGAAUUCAAAUAAAGAUUUUAGUUUCUGAGUGACC
rnacentral:lncRNA from 1 species